rnacentral:rRNA from 1 species
GGGGCGAUACUCGUGUGCAGUAAGAGUCAAAUUAGAGAACCCGUCGCAAGCGUGUCCCGCAUUCUGAAUAGCAGAUAGCUGGGACUACUGAUUGAUCUUGUGUUUACGUAACGGGAUUUGUUUACAGAACCACCCUUUGUAGUUUCCACAGUUUAGCAACCCUGGGAGUUCUGUUCAAAUUUAAACCAAAAAACUCCGGGCCCCCACAAACGGGAAAAACUUGGGCCAUUUGGGUAACGGGGAGAACCUUCCCGGCCUUGAUUCCUUUUUUUUAAGGGGGAAAACCUCACAGGUUCAAAACCAGAAGCCAGGGGCACCAAGGCGGUUUUCGGUCGGACCCGAAAAUUUUGGUAAGUGCCCCAACCAACCCAAACCCUGGGUUCUUUUUACAACCCGGGAAAACCCCGACCCCUUGGGACAGAAUCCCUUGCUUAAAUCAGGAGGAAGGGGUGGGACGCCUCAAGUCAGUAUGCCCCCUUACGGCCCAGGGGUGCACACCUACUACCAAUGCCCGGCACAAAAGGGAGGCAAGAUCGCAAGAUGGAGCCAAUUCCCCAAAAAACCGGGCCCAGUUCAAAUCGUCGUCUGCAACUCGACGGCGUGAAGUUGGAAUCGCUAGUAAUGGCGCAUCAGCUACGGCGCCGUGAAUACGUUCCCAGGCCUUGUACACACCGCCCGUCACAUCAUGAAAGCCGUUUGUACCCGAAGUCGCCGUGUUAACUCGCAAGAGAGACAGGUGCCGAAGGUAUGAAUGGUAUUGGGAUGAAGUCGUAACAAGGUAACCA